AACGGCCAUACCAUGCUGAAUAUACCGGUUCUCGUUAGAUCACCGAAGUCAAGCAUCAUUGGGCGCGGUACUUGGGUGGGUGACCACCUGGGUACACCGCGUGCCGU
rnacentral:rRNA from 1 species